AGAAGACUGAAUAAGCCGUGAACUGGGCAGCUGUGACACGCGCACCUUGUCACCUUGUCACCAAUUUCCUGCCCGGGAUCCCAGAGCUACCCUUCUUGGAGCCCACAGGGGCAGCCCUUGGCUGGUCCCUGCGAGCCCGUGGAGACUGCCAGAGAUGUCCUCUUUCGGUUACAGGACCCUGACUGUGGCCCUCUUCACCCUGAUCUGCUGUCCAGGUAAGCCAGUUUCCUGGGGUUCCUGAUUUGGCACAUGCCAGCCGAGAGGGUGGGGGUGCCCUGUUCCCUGUGGCUUCAGGUGGAAGAGAAGUCCCAAAAGUUGCUGAGGUUCUUAGGUUUUUUUGUUUUGUUUUAAGACAGGGUCUCGGUCUAUCACCCAGGCUGGAGUACAGUGGCAUGAUCAUGGCUCACUGCACCUCCCUGGGCUCGGGUGAUCCUCCCACCUCAGCCUCCUGAGUAGCUGGGAUCACAGGUGAGAGCCACCAUGCCCAGCUAAUUUUUGUAUUUUUUGUAGAGAUGGCAGGGGCUGGUCUCGAACUCCUGGACUCAAGUGAUCCACCCGCCUUGGUCUCCCAAAGUGCUGGGAUUACAGGCAUGAGCCACCAUGCCCAGCCUGCUGAAGCUUUUUAAAUUUUUUAUUUUUAUUAUAGGCAGGUUCCUGUUCUGUUGCCCAGGCUGGAGUGCAGGGUGUGAUCAUAGCUCACUGCAGCCUCCAACUCCUGGGCUCAACAAUCCUCCUGCCCCAGCCUUUGCACUGCUGGCCCCCUUCCCCUGGAUCACUGCCCCCAAGUAUCUGCAGGGCGUGCCACGCCCCUGCAUGCCUUUGCCCACAGAGUCACCAUCUGGGUGAGGCCUUCAUUGAGCACAGUAUUUAAAGUGGCCUCACCCCCACUCCCUGCUCCCUUUCUCGG
rnacentral:lncRNA from 1 species